GGAGGGUGCAAGCGUUAUUCGGAAUCACUGGGCGUAAAGAGCGCGUAGGCGGUUUCUAAAGUCAGAUGUGAAAGCCCGGGGGCUCAACCUCGGAAGUGCAUUUGAAACUUAGGGACUUGAGUAUGGGAGAGGGAAGUGGAAUUCCUGGUGUAGCGGUGAAAUGCGUAGAUAUCAGGAGGAACACCGGUGGCGAAGGCGACUUCCUGGACCAAUACUGACGCUGAGGCGCGAAGGCGUGGGGAGCAAACAGGAUUAGAUACCCUGGUAGUCCACGCAGUAAACGUUGAACACUAGGUGUAGCGGGUAUUGACCCCUGCUGUGCCGCAGCUAACGCAUUAAGUGUUCCGCCUGGGGAGUACGGCCGCAAAGGCUAA
rnacentral:rRNA from 1 species